GCGAGAGUGGUGAAACUGGCAGACACGCCAGACUUAGGAUCUGGUGCGCAAGCAUAAGGGUUCGAGUCCCUUCUCUCGCA
rnacentral:tRNA from 1 species